rnacentral:tRNA from 1 species
UCGGGAAAUAGCUCAGCUUGGUAGAGCGCUACGUUCGGGACGUAGAGGUCGCAGGUUCAAAUCCGGUUUUCCCGAUAAU